rnacentral:rRNA from 1 species
AUGGCGAAGAUGAUAGAUCCUCCGAAGGGCAAGGGAAACAGUGGGAAGCAUUACUACAUAAUGUGCGGGACGAUGUUUGAGAUCGACACCAAGUACGUGCCGAUCAAGCCCAUCGGAAGAGGAUCUUACGGGGUAGUUUGCUCGUCCAUGAACAAGGAUACGAACGAGAAGGUUGCGAUAAAAAAGAUUAACAAUAUCUUUGACAACCGUGAGGAUGCACUCAGGACGCUGCGCGAGCUGAAGCUCCUUCGGCACUUGAGUCACGAGAAUGUCAUUGCUUUGAAGGAUGUAAUGAUGCCAAUACAGAGGAGGAACUUCAAGGAUGUCUACUUGGUGUCCGAACUAAUGGACACGGAUCUGCAGAAGAUCAUCAGCUCGUGUAUAACGCUUUCCAAUGACCACUGCCAAUAUUUCCUAUUUCAGCUGCUCCGAGGGCUGAAGUAUCUUCAUUCAGCAGGGAUACUGCAUAGAGACCUGAAACCAGAAAACCUCUUGGUUAAUGCAAACUGUGACCUGAAGAUCUGUGACUUUGGUCUUGCUCGCACAAUUAACGCUAAAGUUCAGUCUAUGACUGGAUACGUUGUCACCCGCUGGUAUAGAGCUCCCGAGCUGCUGCUCGGCUGCGACAACUAUGGCACCUCCAUAGAUGACUGGUCAGUUGGCUGCAUCUUUGCUGAGCUACUUGGCCGCAAGUCGAUCUUCCCAGGAACCGAUUGCCUAAAUCAGCUUAAGCUUAUAGUCAAUGUUCUUGGCACCAUGAGCGAUGAUGACCUUGAGUUCAUUGACAACAUGAAAGCUCGCAAGUACAUCAAAUCCCUUUCGUACGCCGACGGGAUUCCCCUCACUAGCAUGUACCCACAAGCGGACCCUCUCGCCAUUGAUCUGUUGCAGAAGAUGCUGGUCUUCGAUCCUUCCAAUAGGAUCAGUGUCACUGAGGCUCUGGAGCACCCCUAUAUGUCUACGCUGUAUGAUCCCGACGCAAACCCUCCUGCUCAGGCGCCCAUCGAUCUCGAUAUAGAUGAAAAACUCGGCGUGGACAUGAUCCGAGAAAUGUUGUGGCAGGAGAUGCUCCAGUACCCCUGA